rnacentral:rRNA from 1 species
GAUGAACGCUGGCGGCGUGCCUAAUACAUGCAAGUCGAGCGAACGGACGAGAAGCUUGCUUCUCUGAUGUUAGCGGCGGACGGGUGAGUAACACGUGGAUAACCUACCUAUAAGACUGGGAUAACUUCGGGAAACCGGAGCUAAUACCGGAUAAUAUUUUGAACCGCAUGGUUCAAAAGUGAAAGACGGUCUUGCUGUCACUUAUAGAUGGAUCCGCGCUGCAUUAGCUAGUUGGUAAGGUAACGGCUUACCAAGGCAACGAUGCAUAGCCGACCUGAGAGGGUGAUCGGCCACACUGGAACUGAGACACGGUCCAGACUCCUACGGGAGGCAGCAGUAGGGAAUCUUCCGCAAUGGGCGAAAGCCUGACGGAGCAACGCCGCGUGAGUGAUGAAGGUCUUCGGAUCGUAAAACUCUGUUAUUAGGGAAGAACAUAUGUGUAAGUAACUGUGCACAUCUUGACGGUACCUAAUCAGAAAGCCACGGCUAACUACGUGCCAGCAGCCGCGGUAAUACGUAGGUGGCAAGCGUUAUCCGGAAUUAUUGGGCGUAAAGCGCGCGUAGGCGGUUUUUUAAGUCUGAUGUGAAAGCCCACGGCUCAACCGUGGAGGGUCAUUGGAAACUGGAAAACUUGAGUGCAGAAGAGGAAAGUGGAAUUCCAUGUGUAGCGGUGAAAUGCGCAGAGAUAUGGAGGAACACCAGUGGCGAAGGCGACUUUCUGGUCUGUAACUGACGCUGAUGUGCGAAAGCGUGGGGAUCAAACAGGAUUAGAUACCCUGGUAGUCCACGCCGUAAACGAUGAGUGCUAAGUGUUAGGGGGUUUCCGCCCCUUAGUGCUGCAGCUAACGCAUUAAGCACUCCGCCUGGGGAGUACGACCGCAAGGUUGAAACUCAAAGGAAUUGACGGGGACCCGCACAAGCGGUGGAGCAUGUGGUUUAAUUCGAAGCAACGCGAAGAACCUUACCAAAUCUUGACAUCCUUUGACAACUCUAGAGAUAGAGCCUUCCCCUUCGGGGGACAAAGUGACAGGUGGUGCAUGGUUGUCGUCAGCUCGUGUCGUGAGAUGUUGGGUUGAGUCCCGCAACGAGCGCAACCCUUAAGCUUAGUUGCCAUCAUUAAGUUGGGCACUCUAAGUUGACUGCCGGUGACAAACCGGAGGAAGGUGGGGAUGACGUCAAAUCAUCAUGCCCCUUAUGAUUUGGGCUACACACGUGCUACAAUGGACAAUACAAAGGGCAGCGAAACCGCGAGGUCAAGCAAAUCCCAUAAAGUUGUUCUCAGUUCGGAUUGUAGUCUGCAACUCGACUACAUGAAGCUGAAAUCGCUAGUAAUCGUAGAUCAGCAUGCUACGGUGAAUACGUUCCCGGGUCU